rnacentral:rRNA from 1 species
AUGCGCACCUCCGUCUCGGGCUCCCUGCCGGCGUCGCUCUCCCGCACAAACCUCACCUCCGUCAGCUUCUUCAGCAACAAGCUGACCGGAAGGAUCCCCAGGUCGCUCCAGGACCUGCCUUACCUGACCUACUUCGACGCCUCGAACAACCGCCUCGUCGGCCGGAUCCCGCCGGGGCUGGUGAGCAACGGCGCGCCCGACAGGCUCCUGGGCCUGACGCUGACGAACAACCGGCUAACGGGGCCGAUCCCCCGGAUGUACGGGCGCGAGAGGUACUUCAUGAACUUCCGGGUGGCCAACAACAGGCUAACGGGGGACGCGGCGUUCCUGUUCGGCCGGCGGAACACGGUGUACGACGUCGACCUGUCCGGGAACAGGCUGCGGUUCAACCUGACCGGCGUGGAGAUGCCAGAGAACCUGCUGUUCCUCAACAUGAGCCGCAACCGGAUCUACGGCGGCGUGCCGGCGUCGCUGACGCAGUUGAAGAAGUUGACCACGCUCGACCUCAGCUACAACCAGCUCUGCGGGGAGAUACCGACCGGCGGGAACAUGGGUCGGUUCAAGCCGGAGGCCUACGAGCACAACAAGUGCCUGUGCGGGACCCCGUUGCCGGCGUGCUAG